rnacentral:rRNA from 1 species
AAAUCGUGAUGAACUCUGAAUACCCUGUGUGUAACUAGGCAGUCAGACUGUGGGGGAUAAGCUCCAUAGUCGAAAGGGAAACAGCCCAGACCGCCAGCUAAGGUCCCAAAAUCAACACUAAGUGAUAAAGGAGGUGGGAUUGCCCAGACAACCAGGAGGUUUGCUUAGAAGCAGCCAUCCUCAAAGGAGUGCGUAAUAGCCCACUGGUCGAGCGAUCCUGCGCCGAAAAUGAACGGGGCUAAGUGUUGUACCGAAGCUGCGGAUUUAUUUAUAAAUGGUAGGGGAGCGUUCUAUGUGGGGUGAAGCGUUAGCGUAAGCGGGCGUGGACUGCAUAGAAGUGAGAAUGUCGGCUUGAGUAGCGAAAACAUGGGUGAGAAUCCCAUGCCCCGAAACCCUAAGGGUUCCUCCGGCAGGCUCGUCCGCGGAGGGUUAGUCUGGUCCUAAGGUCAGGCCGAAAGGCGUAGUCGAUGGAUAACAGGUCAAUAUUCCUGUACCAGUUAUGUUUUGGGAAGGGGGACGGAGAAGGCUAGCCAAUCCAGAUGUUGGUUACUGGUUCAAGCGUUCGAGGCUUUGAGGAACGGAGAAAACGUUCUGAGCUAAGGCGUGAGUACGAGCUGCUACGGCAGCGAAGUUGGUGAUGUCAUGCUUCCAAGAAAAUCCCUAUACCCGUUAAGGCAUAAUUGCCAGUACCCGAAACCGACACAGGUGGGGUGGUAGAGAAUACCGAGGGGCGCGAGAUAACUCUCUCUAAGGAACUCGGCAAAAUGGUCCCGUAACUUCGGGAGAAGGGAUGCCAGCGCAAGCUGGUCGCAGUGAAGAGGCCCAGGCGACUGUUUACCAAAAACACAGGUCUCCGCUAAGUCGCAAGACGAUGUAUGGGGGCUGACACCUGCCCAGUGCCGGAAGGUUAAGGAAGCUGGUUAGCGUAAGCGAAGCUAGUGACUGAAGCCCCGGUGAACGGCGGCCGUAACUAUAACGGUCCUAAGGUAGCGAAAUUCCUUGUCGGGUAAGUUCCGACCCGCACGAAAGGUGUAACGAUCUGGGCGCUGUCUCGGAGAGAGGCUCGGCGAAAUAGAAUUGUCUGUGAAGAUGCGGACUACAUACACCCGGACAGAAAGACCCUAUGAAGCUUUACUGCAGGUUGGUAUUGUUCUCGGGCUCUGAAUGCGCAGGAUAGGUGGGAGACAUUGAUGUAGUGCUUUUGGGUACUACUGAGUCAACGGUGAGAUACCACUCUUUCAGAGCUAGAGAUCUAACGUUUACCCGUUAUCCGGGAAACGGACAGUAUCUGCUGGGCAGUUUGACUGGGGCGGUCGCCUCCUAAAAGGUAACGGAGGCGCACAAAGGUUUCCUCAGGCUGGUUGGAAAUCAGUCGUCGAGUGCAAAAGCAGAAGGAAGCUUGACUGUGAGACCUACAAGUCGAACAGGGACGAAAGUCGGUUUUAGUGAUCCGACGGUUCUGAGUGGAAGGGCCGUCGCUCAACGGAUAAAAGUUACUCUAGGGAUAACAGGCUGAUCUCCCCCAAGAGUUCACAUCGACGGGGAGGUUUGGCACCUCGAUGUCGGCUCAUCGCAACCUGGGGCUGAAGUCGGUCCCAAGGGUUGGGCUGUUCGCCCAUUAAAGCGGUACGCGAGCUGGGUUCAGAACGUCGUGAGACAGUUCGGUCCAUAUCCGGUGUAUGCGCAGGAAUAUUGAGAGGAUUUCUCCCUAGUACGAGAGGACCGGGAGGAACGCACCUCUGGUGUACCAGUUAUCGUGCCAACGGUAAACGCUGGGUAGCCAUGUGCGGAGUGGAUAACCGCUGAAAGCAUCUAAGUGGGAAGCCCACCUCAAGAUGAGUAUUCCCAUGGUUUAAACCAGUAAGGUCACGGGAAGAACACCCGUUGAUAGGCUCUACGUGGAAGUCUGGUAACAGAUGCAGCGGAGGAGUACUAAUAGAUCGAGGGCUUGACCUU